CCUACGUGAGGCAGCAGUGGGGGAUAUUGCACAAUGGGGGGAACCCUGAUGCAGCGACGCCGCGUGGGUGAAGAAGCGCCUCGGCGCGUAAAGCCCUGUCAGCAGGGAAGAAAAUGACGGUACCUGAAGAAGAAGCCCCUGCUAACUACGGGCAAGCAGCCGCGGUAAUACGUAGGGGGCAAGCGUUAUCCGGAUGUACUGGGUGUAAAGGGGGCGCAGAUGGCGAUGCAAGCCAGGCGUGAAAGCCCGGGGCCCAACCCCGGGACUGCUCUUGAAACUGCGUGGCUGGAGUGCAGGAGAGGCAGGCGGAAUUCCUGGUGUAGCAGUGAAAUGCGUAGAUAUCAGGAGGAACACCGGUGGCGAAGGCGGCCAGAUGGACUGCAACUGACGUUGAGGCCCGAAAGCGUGGGGAGCAAACAGGAUUAGAUACCCCUGUAGUC
rnacentral:rRNA from 1 species